rnacentral:rRNA from 1 species
UACGUACGGGGCAAGCGUUAUCCGGAAUUACUGGGCGUAAAGCGCGCGCAGGCGGCUGUUUAAGUAGGGCGUGAAAUCUCCCGGCCUAACUGGGAGGGGUCGCUCUAGACUGGGCGUCUUGAGGACUGCAGAGGUGGGUGGAAUUCCUGGUGUAGUGGUGAAAUGCGUAGAGAUCAGGAGGAACACCGGUGGCGAAGGCGGCCCACUGGGCAGUCACUGACGCUGAGGCGCGAAAGCUCGGGGAGCGAACGGG